CCUACGGGUGGCAGCAGUGAGGAAUAUUGGUCAAUGGGCGCGAGCCUGAACCAGCCAAGUAGCGUGAAGGAUGACUGCCCUACGGGUUGUAAACUUCUUUUAUAAAGGAAUAAAGUGAGGCACGUGUGCCUUUUUGUAUGUACUUUAUGAAUAAGGAUCGGCUAACUCCGUGCCAGCAGCCGCGGUAAUACGGAGGAUCCGAGCGUUAUUCGGAUGUAUUGGGUUUAAAGGGAGCGUAGAUGGGUUGUUAAGUCAGUUGUUAAAGUUGGCGGCUCAACCGUAAAAUUGCAAUUGAUACUGGCAGUCUUGCGUACAGUUGAGGUAGGCGUACUUCGUGGUGUCUCGGU
rnacentral:rRNA from 1 species